rnacentral:rRNA from 1 species
GCCUACGGCCAUACUAGUCUGAAAGUGCCUGAUCUCGUCAGAUCUCAGAAGUCAUGCAGACUUGGGCCUGCUUUAGUACUUGUAUGGGAGACCAACUAGGAACCUCAUGUCCCGUAACUU